rnacentral:rRNA from 1 species
CUGACCGUGCAAAGGUAGCGUAAUCACUUGUCUUUUAAAUGGGGACUUGUAUGAAUGGUAUAACGAGGGCUUAACUGUCUCCUCCCUCUUGUCAAUGAAAUUGAUCUCCCCGUGCAGAAGCGGGGAUACUCUCAUAAGACGAGAAGACCCUAUGGAGCUUUAGAUACUAAGGUAGACCAUAUUCCAUAACCCCUUGUUAAAGGAGUAAAUCUAUGCUAAUCCUACCCCUAUAUCUUCGGUUGGGGCGACAAUGGGGAAAUAAAAAUCCCCCAUGCGGAACGGGAAAAUUUUAUCUAAGAAAUUAUUCUUACCAUAAAGCUACUUCCCCAAAUUAAGAGUGACAACUCUAAAUUACAGUAUUUCUGACCAUAAAUGAUCCGGCAUUUGCCGAUUAACGGACCAAGUUACCCUAGGGAUAACAGCGCAAUCCCCUUUUAGAGCCCACAUCAACAAGGGGGUUUACGACCUCGAUGUUGGAUCAGGACAUCCUAUUGGUGCAGCCGCUAUUAAGGGUUCGUUGUUCAACGAUUAAAGUCCUACGUGAUCUGAGUUCAGACCGGAG